UGGCAGUGUGAUGUUGCUUACCUGCAUGACAACAGACCAUGUGAACCAUCCUUCCUUCUCCAAGGUGUGUGAGCUCGAUUGCUGGAACACCUAGAAUUUGUUAGAAUUCUUUGCCAAUCUCAAACAUUUAGCUAAUUCAAUUAUUUUGUUUCCCCUAUCUGCAGAUAACCGUUGCCAUUAUACAGAUGAUCAUGGUUUAAACCCUUGGAGCGGUGAGGAGUUGUGAUGCAGCACAAGAUCGCUUUUUUUUUGUGAACAGCGCACAAGAUCACUUUCGCAAUGUCGUGCUGGAAGGGUUUACAUCAUGCCGCAGGGAAGAACACAGGGUUUACAUCAUGCCGCAGGGAAGGAGAACACACUAGACUGCUUCUGAGUUUUGACCCCAGGAGGAUCAGAUUGCUGUAGCUAUCUGAAUAGACCACCCGAGAUCUCUAUCU
rnacentral:lncRNA from 1 species